GAUAAACGCUGGCGGCGUGCCUAAUACAUGCAAGUCGAGCGGCAGCGCAGGGUGCUUGCACCCCGGCGGCGAGCGGCGGACGGCUGAGUAACGCGUAGGAACGUACCCCAAAGUGAGGAAUAACUGCCCGAAAGGGUGGCUAAUGCCGCAUGUGCUCUUCGGAGUAAAGCUUCGGCGCUUUGGGAACGGCCUGCGUCCGAUUAGCUAGUUGGUAAGGUAAUGGCUUACCAAGGCUACGAUCGGUAGCUGGUCUGAGAGGAUGAUCGGCCAGACUGGGACUGAGAACGGCCCAGACUCCUACGGGAGGCAGCAGUAGGGAAUUUUCCACAAUGGGCGUAAGCCUGAUGGAGCAACGCCGCGUGCAGGGAUGAAGGGCCUUAGGGUCGUAAACUGCUUUUCUCUGUGAAGAUUAUGACGUUAACAGAGGAAUAAGGGAUCUGCUAACUACGUAGCCAGCCGCCGCAGUAAU
rnacentral:rRNA from 1 species